rnacentral:rRNA from 1 species
UACAGAGGUCCCAAGCGUUGUUCGGAUUCACUGGGCGUAAAGGGUGCGUAGGUGGUUAGGUAAGUCCGAUGUGAAAUCCCACGGCUCAACCGUGGAACUGCUUGGUAUACUGGGUGUCUUGAGCUAUCUAGGGGCAACUGGAACAAACGGUGGAGCGGUGAAAUGCGUAGAUAUCGUUUGGAACGCCAAUGGUGAAAACAGGUUGCUGGGGAUAUGCUGACGCUGAGACACGAAAGCCAGGGGAGCAAACAGG